CCUACGGGAGGCAGCAGUGGGGAAUUUUCCGCAAUGGGCGAAAGCCUGACGGAGCAACGCCGCGUGAGGGAUGAAGGCCUCUGGGCUGUAAACCUCUUUUCUCAAGGAAGAAGAUCUGACGGUACUUGAGGAAUAAGCCACGGCUAAUUCCGUGCCAGCAGCCGCGGUAAUACGGGAGUGGCAAGCGUUAUCCGGAAUUAUUGGGCGUAAAGCGUCCGCAGGCGGCCCUUCAAGUCUGCUGUUAAAAAGUGGAGCUUAACUCCAUCAUGGCAGUGGAAACUGUUGGGCUUGAGUGUGGUAGGGGCAGAGGGAAUUCCCGGUGUAGCGGUGAAAUGCGUAGAUAUCGGGAAGAACACCAGUGGCGAAGGCGCUCUGCUGGGCCAUAACUGACGCUCAUGGACGAAAGCCAGGGGAGCGAAAGGGAUUAGAUACCCCUGUAGUCCUGGCCGUAAACGAUGAACACUAGGUGUCGGGGGAAUCGACCCCCUCGGUGUCGUAGCCAACGCGUUAAGUGUUCCGCCUGGGGAGUACGCACGCAAGUGUGAAACUCAAAGGAAUUGACGG
rnacentral:rRNA from 1 species